rnacentral:rRNA from 1 species
AUUGAACGCUGGCGGCAGGCUUAACACAUGCAAGUCGAGCGAGCGGCGGACGUGUUGGUAAUGUCUGGGCAACUGCCUGAUGGAGGGGGAUCACUACCGGAAGCUGUAGCUACAUCCGCCUACCUGAAGCUGUGUCGAGUUGGGAUUAGGUAGUGGGUGGGGUAAUGGCUCACCUAGGCGACGAUCCCUAGCUGGUCUGAGAGGAUGACCAGCCACACUGGAACUGAGACACGGUCCAGACUCCUACGGGAGGCAGCAGUGGGGAAUAUUGGACAAUGGGCGAAAGCCUGAUACAGCCAUGCCGCGUGUGUGAAGAAGGCCUUCGGGUUGUAAAGCACUUUAAGCGAGGAGGCGUUACCCGCAGAAGAAGCACCGGCUAACUCCGUGCCAGCAGCCGCGGUAAUUC